ACCGGCGGCUCGAGUGGUGGCCACUAUUACUGGGCUUAAAGCGUUCGUAGCUGGCUUGUUAAGUCUCUGGGGAAAUCUUCCGGCUCAACCGGAAGGCGUCUCAGGGAUACUGGCAGGCUAGGGACCGGAAGAGGUGAGAGGUACUCCAGGGGGAGGAGUGAAAUCCGGUGAUCCGUGGGGGAGGACCGGGGGCGAAGGCGUCACACCAGGACAGCUCCGACAGUGAGGAACGAAAGUUGGGAGAGCAAACCG
rnacentral:rRNA from 1 species